ensembl:lncRNA LINC00539 long intergenic non-protein coding RNA 539
GGGUGUGGGGCUGAGCAGGCCUGGAAGAAACAAGGCUGCUGGGCUGAGCUUGGGGCCAGCCGCUCAUUUCACCAAGCUGAGCUGUAAUCACAUCCCCAGGUAGCACUGUGCCUUCAGAAUAUGACUGAGCAGCAUUAUGUCUGCAGUGCUAAGCAGGUGUGAUCAAUAGAUGGAGAGCUGUGACCAGCUGGGCUGUGAUGCGGAGCCUGCAACCAAGCUGCCUGGGGGAAAUUCAGGAGGCCAGCCAUCGUCUUUAACCAGGGCAGCCCCGAGAGUGUCUGCAAGGGCUGCAUGCCCUGAGUAGAUCCUCGCAGAUGCUGAUCAGGGUGUCUUCUGGGCUCCACCUGGCACAGAAAAGCCAGCAAAGCUCCAGGGGCUUCCCUUCUUUCCUGGCAGAGAAAGAGCAGGCAGAUUCAGAGCCCCGUGAGGCUGUCUUGAGCUCCACCGGGAUCUAGGGAGAGCCAGCAGCACCACCAAGAUAUUUACGUUGUGAACUGGUAAAAUCUGAACUGCAGAAUAUCAAUUUCCAGACAUUCUUCCUAGAUGAUGCCGUCUGCCACGGAACUGAUCUUGACCAUCCUUCCUGAGGAGGUUGGAAGAUGACUUGUUUGCCAGAUGGAUAGCCACAACCCAGGAACCAAAGGCUGUGCUGCUCUGUUCCAGUAAAGAUACCACAUCCAAUUAGAGACCAUGUAGAUGGAUUGAAUGGGGAUAUGAUGAGGAUGACCACCCCUGCAUUUGCUAAGUUCUUGGGAGUGGCAUCGAUCUCAGCCAUUCCACUGGAAUAGGGAAACAAAACGUGAGGGCUCUACCAGCUGCUCAGUCUAUCCUUUCCAAUUGAGCACACUGGAACUGAGGAAGCAAAGACAGGGUGAGCCCUAACACCCUCAUCAUCACUGCUGAGCCUGCCUUGACAAGAACUCCAUUUAUCACCCGCCUCCAUAAUAGCCCAUUCUAACUAGCUGUCAUCGUGGCAUUUCAGGUUCUGCUGAUGUCAUUGUAAGAUAAUGGACCUUAACUAGUGGGCUGAAGGCAAUGAGGGGAUGUGAGGAUGCAUCUUGUGAAGGACAAAAGUCAUCCUGUAAGGAUUCAUGAGACCUGAGCAGCCAGCCAGCCCUGAAAUGGUUGGAACAGGAGAAAGAAGAAGAGCUCGACAGAUACCCUGCCUGGGCUGGCAGCUAGCUGCACCACAAGCUGGCCAGCUGACAGCGGGCACAUCCCUUCAUCACCCAGUGCCUUUCUUCCCUCUUGUGAAAAUGGAGAUAUGCUGAGAAGGUUACUUCAGCUCAUCCAGAGAAAGCUUCUUCAGCUAACUAGGCUGUAGAAAGGGCCUACAGCCUAAAUUUUCAAAAACAAGUUAAUGCCAGAAUAUAAACUCCGUGAAGUAACA